AGUUGCUGCACAUUUUUAGUAUAAAUAUUAAGUAAAAAUAGUUGUAUUGUUAUGCACACUUGUAUGAAUCAUGAACUACUGAUUUUAAUAAAUUAUUAGUAAGUUAUUUGAUUGUUUUAAGUGUCUAAAACACUUACCAACUAGUCUAUGCAUAUGAUUGCACCAACGGGUCGAAACGGGUUGUUGAUAGAAAAUAGUAGAAUGGAUGUGUAAAAACCAAGGUGUUAAGAAAUGGUAUGAAAUGUUUAAUGUAUGAAACAAGUUGCCUAACUUAGAGAAUGUUAUCAUUCUAAGUAUGGAAUUUUGAAAGAAUAAUGAACAUGAUGUAAAUACAUAAUUAUGCAUGCUAGAAGCUCAUGUAUGACUUUUGUGAUGAUGGAAUGAUAAAUUGUUAGAUUGAUUAGCAUUGUAGUAUUAUGAUACAUGUUGAACUCGUUAAGCGAUUGACACGUGAAUAGAAGUGUGAUUAGUGAUGCCUAUGAUUACGUAUACUAACUAUUGAAUGGAUGUAAUGGAAUGAGAUAAUAGGAACGUGUCAAGGAGAGCUCAAGCAUAGGAGGAUAACGGGUCAAGAUAAGGCAAGGUGACAAAUACACUUAUUGGAAUACUCAAGGAAGAAACGUGACGCAAAACGGACGAAAAAUGAGAGAGUUAUGUCCGUUUCAGUAAGGAUUAAUGGCUAGGAAAAGUGCAGAGUUGACACGGCCGGGUGGUGAACUGACACGGCCGGGUGAAGGUUCUGUCAAAAAUAUUAUUUAUGUGAUUUAUGCGUCGUAGGCUUCGGUAUAUUAUCCGUGAACUACGACGGGCCUCCCAAACAUGAUUUCGAGUGUUUCCUUGACGAUUAUAAGUUGUAAACCCAAGUCUAAGCCUCAUGUAAUUUAUAUAAGAGUGUGAUAGAUGUAUGUAAUGAAGUUGGACAUGUAUUACAUGUAAAUGUAUACAAAAAUACGUACGGAACACGUAGGUAUGAAUACAUGAUUGUAGGUAUGAUUAAAUGUAUAUUAGGUAUGUAGAUGUGUAUGAUUGUAAGUUUGUAUGUGUGCAAGUAUGUGCGAAUGCAUGAUUUGGAUGCAUUUGAGAAUUAGCGUUACUAAUAAUGCCCUUGGGUUUGGAAUAUAAGUUGAUUGGAUGCAUUUAAAUGGUUAACGUCCUUUUUAUGAAGAUGUAGUAAAUGAAUAUGUUGAGAUUACGGGUUUGGCUAACCAAGUUAUUAUUGAGUAUGUUUGAAAGUGCAGGUUAUGAAUGUCGGACUUUCGAAGUGUUGAUAUAAUAAUGAAACGGUUGAAUGUUGAAAGGAUAAUCGGAUUGAAGUAACUUAUGCGGUUAGAAUAUGCUAUGGACGUUUUAGUUUAUACAAUAUUAUAUGUUUGGUCGUCACCAUCUACUAACAGGUAAAUCCUCAAUUUUGGCGACUUGGAGAAUCGGAGCGAGCGCGUGUUCGUGUUAUGCGAUACCAAACGCUUCCGCUAGCUUGUUCAAAUGUUUUU